GCAUCAAUGUUCUAAUGGUAUGAUAUUAGCCUUCCAAGCUGAAGACCCGGGUUCGAUUCCCGGUUGAUGCA
rnacentral:tRNA from 1 species